rnacentral:lncRNA from 1 species
AGCUAAAUGAACUCGAUCUGAUCUUCUUUGUCCUCAGGGACCGGGAGGAGCUAAGGAGACUGUAGUGAUUUGAAAUUAGCCUCACAAGGCCGCACCAAAAUAAUACUGUAGCGAUUGGAAUUUAUAAUAAAUGUCUGAAGAUUAAUAAUCUCAAAUUAUGACAUUUAUGCACUCGUUGAAAGGGGCACCACCCACCCUUAAUGGUGGGAAAAUAAAGAAAACAAAAGUUUAAUUCAGAAAUCAAACAUCAAGUCAGUUUUAAUUAAUCAGUCUUAAUUAAUCAGUCUCAUAUCUUAAGUCGAAAUUCUAAUUUCAGGGACUCCACUUCUGGAAGAACACUAACAGACAGGAACUUAGAAAAAUAAUGAUCUGUUUAUUACAGGAUAAAUGAUGGUACAACAAACAUGCAAUAAAUGAUGAUAAGAUAAUGAGGAUAAAAUAAUAAUAGGUGAAUAAAUAAAGAUUUUGAGUCAGGCUAGGAGCACUAAAGUUAAUGAUAGUGAGUGAAUAUGCGCUAACAUAUUAACCUACACUAACUUUGGCGUCGAGAUAAACUCGGAUGUGGAUUUGGAGGAAUCUAAGAUUACCAGAAUAAGAGGAUAUCUGAGUUGAACGCAGGAGACAGCACCAGCCCUCUUUAGAGCUCUGGAGGUUUGCAUACUUAAGUGAGACUGGUCCUUGGAGAAGAUGGAGCAGGUUCCGAAGGUCCGGGCUACUGGCGGUUCGAGCGGUUCAGCUCAGAAGACGACUGAAGUCAGCCGAAGGAUGAGCCAGGAGUUGCAGCACUCGGGCCCGAAGCAAAGCCAGCGCCUGUGGAUCCUGUGGAUGCUCGUUUGGGUACUUCUUUGGUCUCACUUAAAACUCUGGCACAGAGGAUGUCCUGGGCCUGCUGGGUUGCGUUCAGAGGUGACUUUGAAUCACGCAGAAAACUCAGAAAAACGAGACUCGAGCAGAGAAAACUUUCAAAAAUGGCUUCGCGAAAUUAAAGAAAAAUCAAUCAAAGGCUUAAUCUUGAAUUGCUAUGCGCACAAAAAGUUGAAGUUUCAAAACUUGAACUAAGACGAUGUUAAAGAAAAAUCAACGUGAAUCAACACGUGGCGUAAAACUUAGAAGACUAAGAAAAAGUUCUAAGAGAAAACAAAGAAACGCACCACAGAAGGGUGUGGACAGAGGAGAAGGGGCAUAAGAGCCGGGGACAAGAGAGUCAGCAGAAGAGCAGAAGCAUAAGAGAGUGAGCAACCCCACUUCACUGGUUUUAUCUUCUCACACUGGGAGUGUCUCCGGGGUGUGUGUGAGGAGAAAGGAGGGGUCGUGGAAUCUCUGAUUACUUGAUCUAACUUAUUCUUUUGGCUGGUAAAAGAGUCAGAUCUGAUACUCACUCACUUUGAUUAAUAUCAUUGAAUGCUUGGUUUCGUGAUAAAUAAUUUGACACUAAACACAUAUGAAUGAAGUGUAGGAUCACAUCAAACAUUCUCAUUAUGUUUUAAGUAUCACAUUGAACAUGCUAAAUUACUCUGAAAUGAAACAGAUAGUAACACCUGGAAACUGUGAACAACAAAAGAGUAAACACAUGUGAAUGAACUUCAUCAUGAUUAAUAAUGGAUUCUAAAUACUCACAUUAAGGUUAUUCAAUGACAUUAUAACCACCUAAUGGUUAAAAAUACUAAACAAACAACUACAAUAUAAACCAAACAUUUCUAAACUGUUUCUGUUACCUAGAGUUAAGUUAUGAUUCAUAGUCGAUAAAUUUAACUCUUAAAAGUUCAUGGAACAGUCUGAAAAGCUGUUGGUCUAAAGAAACUAAAGAGCGAUAACUCGGCUUCUGGAGCACAUAGAAAAACGGGAAACAUCUCAUUUUAACACAAAUUUCAUGAUUAGACAGAUUAGUACAUUGCUGAAUGCAUAAGAUGUCAUGAUCAGUCAUUUGUAUUCUUUCACCAAAGGAAUGUAGUCUUUAUCAGUGUAUGGUCGAGCAGGGUUUUACGACCGAGGUCUGGAGGUCAGUGUCCCCCCUUAUCCUGGGGUCCGUAUGUUCACACACUUUAAGAAGGUAAAUCUCAAAUGGGAGAUCUGGGUUGAGACGUUAAUGUUUAUUUAGAUGGUCAGUAAUGGAGUCAGUUUGAAAGGUAAUAAAAACUCUGUCUCUGUUCUCCGAAUCGACCAAUCAUGAAGAGUCAGAGGUUUAGUCAACCUCCGGUUGGGUCACUUAGGCAACCUGAAAGUGUAAACAAGUCUGGAAAGAUUUAUAUCCUGUUUCCUGGGACCAGAUAAGGAACUUUCCUGUGAGGAAUGUGUGAGAUUCACACCCAGGGUUGUCUUGAUUGCUACAGUCCCCCCUUCGUCACGGUGGUCCUGUCCAUGGAGCAUCGGGACGACGAGUAGACAACCAUGAAGCAGCAGCAGCAGCAGCAGGUGUAUGCAAAUAGGACUGAUGCGUCUCGUCAUCACUAUGUAAAUCACAAGUACUGCUUUGAGAUAAAAUUAAGCAUGCAUUAAGCUAUCAAAUAAAAUCAUCUAGUUGUUAGACUUUUCUCAGUUAACUAUUGGUAGACUAAUGUGAAAGAAAAUCUCCUAAUUUUUAGUAUUAAUGAGAUUUAGAAAAGCACUCUUUAGUCUGAAUGCUAACUGGAUCUAAAGCUAUAGCUGUUUUUCAUGCUUGCUGGAGAAGUCUGAAAGUUCCAUUUCAGUUUCAAAAAUGGUUAAGACUUAGGUGGAAAAGAAAUGUCUGCUAUAGACAUAUUAACCAUCUGUGUAUGAGCAUAGUCAACCUGAAUCACAAACAUCAAAAGUUUACUGCACAGAGUUUCUCUUAAACUUUGUCUGUUAAACUUGGGGAUGAUGCUCUUAUCGGUUUGACUAAUUAUCUGCUGUUGAGUCUGAAAUUUGUCAAUCUGAGUCUUAAGGACAGUUUUAAUCUGUUCAUGGGAUCUUUGACAGCUGACAAGCUGACCAUAUUGACAGAGGAGAGACAAAUGCUAACAAAGAAAGCAGCAACUGGGAUUGCAGUCAUCAAUGUAUCACCACAGCAUUUGGAUAUCUUAUUGGAGUCAUUUAGCUUUGGCUAGGUGACUUCUGCUUUCGCAGGACUCACACCUUCAUGACUCCGCAGUGUUAAUCUCAGUGGUUAGCUGAGUAGUCAUGUUUAUUCACCUUCAAAGUGGAUGAAACCGAUUGAGGUGGAUAAUAAGAUCGUCGUUUCUGAGAGUGUGAUUUACUCUGAUUCUGCCAGUCAUUCACCCCCCUUUGGCGGUGUCGAUGGUUUUUCCUUUGUCUGGGACAAAACCCACCAUGACGGGAGUCUGAAUAACAACAGUUGGUCUCAAAGUUUACCCGGCAUGGGUCUGAGUCAGACCUGGGCCUUGGUGUGUAACUUUGACCUUUGUGAGUUUGUUGAGGUCGAAAAGGUUUUGGAGGCCUGGUUAACCACUCAUUUGGAGGCUUAUCUGAGCCUGAAAAUACACAGUCUGAAGCUUCGUUCAGCUCCACGGGCAGUGAUUUUGUCUCCAUAGCCAAGAGAGUAACGGGCUCUGCUUUCUUAGCCAAAGUUUGUCGUUGUUUGGCAAAACCUUUUACAGCGAGUUCACGAAGCUGUCGGCUAGUCAAAGUGUUUGGACAAGCUAAGACGCCAAGGUGAUGACUGGUGGUAGGGUGGAGGUUCUGGACGAACAGCGUUUUGAAGUUCAAGUCCUCCUCCAUUUCUGGUUCAUUUCGGAAACCAAGGUAAGCUUCGCGUAAGCGGUUGUAAUACUGUUGGGGAGAUUCUGAUCUCCCUUGUUUGACAGACAGAGCAGCAGAAAGGCCUGUCUGGGUCAAAUGGUCAGAAAACUCUUCGAUUAAUGCUUGGCAGAGCAAGUCAUAAUUAUUUCUGACAUGAUAAGGCUGUCGUUCAAGGAAACUGCUAACCUCUCGACUUGACGUCGCCUUAAUAAGGUAGAUUUUGUCAUCAAUGGUUGCACCUGGAAAUUUCCGCAGGUAAAAGUCAAUGUCUUUCAAGUGGGUGCAGGUGUCAGUAGCACCUUGGUGCUCAGGUUCAAAGCGUGCUAUGUUGCGAGCAAUUUUGUCAAGAUCCCUAUCUGAGGGAAAUGGUAAGAAGCCAUCAUGGGGAGGAGAGUAGGACUCUUGGUUUAAGGAUGACCUCUCAGGGUCAAGCAGGGUCCUGUCAUGAUGCUGAGAGAGAUACUUAAGAGUUGGUUUGGAAGGAAGUGAUGGCGCUCUCUCAGGAGGCUGAUCACCUAUCAUUUCUUCAAGAAAAGUUUGCUCCAUGCGUUCUCUUUGGGCUCGACCUGACUGGAGGGAGCAUUGUAACUCUCUUUGGGCAUCUUCAAGUUCUUUGUCUGUCUUUUCUUGCCGUUCUUGACAAAGAAUUAACUGUCUCUGAGCUAUCUGGAGCUGGUGCUGUAAGGUAGAAGUUUGCUUCUCCUUAGCUUCAAGAGCUUCAGCACGCACUUUGACCAGUGCUUUCAAAGUUUUUACAUCUUCUGUUGCUUGCUCUAGCAGGGAUUCUGACUGUAUCAGAUCCUCUGUGGUCUUAGCAAGCUGCUUAUUCGUGUCAUCAAGUUCUUUCUCCUUUUUGUAAAGGGUUUCAUUAAGUCUUUCAAUCUUGUCUUUGAGAUCAAGAUUUUCUUCAUGACUUAUCAGUGAGGGAAGCUUUGACGCUUCACAUCUGACACUGUGUUUUCCUAAAACACUUAGAGACUUCUUAGUCUCUUCUAGCGUCUUUUUCAGAGCGCUGUUUUCGUCUUUUUGCGCCUUUAUCUUUGCUAAAGCGCAUUCCAACAAGUAGUCUUUAUACUCAAGCUGAGAAGACAUCAUGACAGACAUGCAUCUAGUGAGCUCUUUGUCACGAAGUGUCGUGGUUAAGGCUGUUUCCAGUAAGUCAGCCAUUUCAUCCUCCGGAUUGGAGGGUUUGGCCUUUUGAAUCUUAGUCAUGUACUGAGGUAUCAGCUGACUAGUCAAGUUUGCCAACACUGUGGGUAUGUCCCUCAGGGGGUCUCCCUGGCUGGACUCUUUUGUGUUAGGCAUGUUUGGUUUUGGUAAAGAGGUGCAGCUGGUUGGUUGAUGAGUUUGAGUUGACUUAAAAUAAAAGGAAGAAGCAAAAUAUCAAAUUAAGUGGGUUAAUCGACUUAAUUUAUCAGUGCUUGAUAAAGAGAAAGAGCCUAUCUGAGUAGAUCUCUAAUGGAGAGAAAAAUAACAUAAAGUUAAAUUCAUUUCAAUGAAAAUUGAAAACAAAAGGUGAAAUAAUGUUAAAUUAAAUUUAACAUCAGAUACAGAACCAUUGAAUAAAGGGUUCAGUUUGUCUCCGUGUUGCAGAGAUCAGCAAAGCUUAAAUAAACUGCCUGGUGCAGUUGGAUGAAUUGGCAAAAUCGAUGAAAUUGUCAAUUUAAGGAAUUAACUCUAAAGUUAAUUCACAAAUUGCAAUAAAUCCAAAGGUUCGAAUAUCAAAUCUAUCUGGAAUGUUAAAAGAAAUUUGAAAUAUUAAUUAAUUUGUUCGUUAAUUAAUUAAUCUUAUGAGUAGGGUUAAUACAUUCAUGUAUUAUAGGGAACAGUAAAACUGCUCACUGGUGUGAUAAGUAACAACAGAUCAGGUGAUUGAUUCAAGGAGUUACUUCAUCAAUACAUCAAAAUCAAUGAUCAGUGAUUUAGAAUAAGCACAUCAAACUUCAUCAACCAAGUCAAUAACUUGAGUUAUGUCUGUAGAGUGUUACACACUGACUACAGAGAGGCAGUACAGCUGGCUGAUACUGCAGGCAGAUAAUAGCAGUGUUAGCUCAAUACCAAAAGCAACCAUGUGGGGCAGUAUGGAGUUGGGAGAACUGCACAAGCUCAACACAAGUGGAGAAGAAGAAGAGAAGAGGAAACAGUCAUCCAACUAGCCUCUUGUGGCUGUGAGGAGUUGGGAAGUAUGAAGGAAGGGGCCUUUAGGCUCUGCCUCCUCGAAGGGCCUUAUCUGCUUCAGGCCAAAUGGUCAGUCUCUCCACUGACAACAAAGGGUUAACAUUUCACAGCAGCUGUGUCUGCACCCUCAAACAUAGAACUUUACACCAUCUGCUCAGGCAGAUUGGUUCAAUAAAAUCAUUUACAGGAACAAGAAUCAAAGUGACAAAUUCUUAAACAGCAGAUUCAACUGCAGACUUUAAAAUCACAAAUGCGGCGAUUUGUGAUCACAAAUUUUGUCUGAAUUCAUUCAAACAACAACCUCCCACUGUUACAGUGGUUUCCUGCGACAGGUAGUUAAUCUGUCAGGGGAAAGGAGGAAAUCUGAAUCCCAUAUAGUUACUAGAACUUCGUAGCAGACUAUAGAGACAAGAAUCAAAGUGACAAAUCCCUCAACAGCAGAUUCAACUGCAGACUUUAAAAUCACAAAUGCGGCGAUUUGUGAACACAAAUUUUGUCUGAAUUCAAUCAAACAACAACCUCCCACUGUUACAGUGGUUUCCUGUGACAGGUAGCUAAUCUGUCAGGGGAAAGGAGGAAAUCUGAAUCCCAUAUAGUUACUAGAACCUCGUAGCAGACUACAGAGACUUCAGGGGCUUGAAACCACAGCUCGGAGCAUCGCGAACACUGGGUUCAGCCAAAGGCCUUAAAUACAAGCGUACGGCGACGCCACAAUCGUGCACUUAAAUAUUGGACAGUCUAGACAGAGCAGAGGAGUCAGUCUCACUGCUACUCAGAACAACAUUUCACGCUGUCCAGCUCAAACACAGACUACAGGCAUGUAGUACAAGAGUGUGUGAAACACAGAGCAUAAAGGUUUUAUGCAUAGAUCAUGAAAACAUCAGAACUUAGUCAAGCAACUUCAGCAAGCAUAGCAUUGAUUGUGAUUAAGUCUAAAACAGCCUGAAAAUAAGUUUGUCUCAUCAAUUUGGAAGGCUAAGUUUUAGGUUGUCUGUUAGUAUCCAGAAGUUUUGUUUGAAACGCCUCACAUGGGGCACCAAAAUAUAUGUAGUGAUUUGAAAUUAGCCUCACAAGGCCGCACCAAAAUAAUACUGUAGCGAUUGGAAUUUAUAAUAAAUGUCUGAAGAUUAAUAAUCUCAAAUUAUGACAUUUAUGCACUCGUUGAAAGGGGCACCACCCACCCUUAAUGGUGGGAAAAUAAAGAAAACAAAAGUUUGAGUCAGAAAUCAAACAUCAAGUCAGUUUUAAUUAAUCAGUCUUAAUUAAUCAGUCUUAAUUAAUCAGUCUCAUAUCUUAAGUCGAAAUUCUAAUUUCAGGGACUCCACUUCUGGAAGAACACUAACAGACAAGAACUUAGAAAAAUAAUGAUCUGUUUAUUACAGGAUAAAUGAUGGUACAACAAACAUGCAAUAAAUGAUGAUAAGAUAAUGAGGAUAAAAUAAUAAUAGGUGAAUAAAUAAAGAUUCUGAGUCAGGCUAGGAGCACUAAAGUUAAUGAUAGUGAGUGAAUAUGCGC